GCUUUCAUAUUCAGAAGAUAUGUAACAUCUGUUGUAAUAUUUCAGAUUCGUUUUUUUUAGUCUUUAUUUAAAAAUACAAAUUCUCACUCAAAACCAUUUCCACUGGCAAUACACAAAAUCAAAUCACCAGGCUCCAAUUACAGCUUAUAUAAAUUUUAAGUGUUCUUUGGAUUAUCCAAAGGAAGGCAAAAAAUUUGAUUACCUCUUUAAUAUUAAAUUAUUAGUUUUGAAUUUUAAAUCUUUGAAAAUAUAAUUUGCAUACAAUAUACGCCAAUCAACAUAUGCCAUCCAAAAAACACAGAACAUUUACCCAGCUGCUUGUUAGUUAGAGAGAGUGCCUGUUUAGACUUCUUGAAGCCAGAGCAUAUAGCUAAGUGAUGCAUGUGCACAAUUAGAAUUCAACAAAUGCUUUUUGACCAGCAUAUUGACUUUAGGGAACAUACAUUCUAUUGAAAAAGCAAUUUGAAGGUGAAAUCACAUCAAGUUGAAAUGUUCAGCCUUGGAUACUUGUGGAAUUUUAGUUACAUCAUGGGAUAAUAACGUUAGCUAAAGUCAGCAAGUGUGUAAAAUGUUUUUUAAAAGUUUUAAAAGUUGAAUAGAUAUUUAUAUUCUACAGUAGUAGGCAAAUACUAGACACCUUCCAUCGCCACUACCACCAAAAUAUGUAUGCUGAAAUUAUGUCUCCAGAAUGAAUAAAGAGGUGUGGGCAAGCUGACCACCAUCAUGGAAAAGGUUAGAAAAGGGGGAGAGGUCCUGGCACUUUCCCAAGCUUUGACCCAGAGUAGGGCCUAUACCUCCUAUUGUAACCAAUUUAUACAAUUUAAAGGAAUCAGUAGGUUGUCUCCAAUAUUAUACAAUUAGUCUUCAAUCAGUUGAUCUUUAUCACCAACCAAAACUGCAAGUGGUUUUUUGUUUUUUUUUAAAGCUUCUUAACAAUGUGAUUAUAUUCACCUUCCUUGUUCUAGCGUGGAUAGUAAAGCCUGUGUGAGCUUUGUACGCUGCAGGUUGAGGCCAAUGUUUAAACAGUGGGUGGGCGAGUGUUCAUAGGAUGUCGCUGAACUGUGUUUCCUUGCUUUAUAGAGUCCUGGAGUUUGGCCAACUCGCAUGAGGGGAGAGUUUUGGUUUUGAGAGCCCUGGGUUUAUUUCUGGCUGUUGGGGGAGGAGAUUGUGGGAGAAGGUGUAAAUAUAGUUAGAGGGAGGUCGCAGACUUGGAGGUUCUCGCCAGGGGUAAAUUCUGGAUGGAUUUGUUUAUAGAUGGAUUUGUUUAUAGCUGUUUCACGCUUUUUACCUCUGGGAGUUGGUGCUUCCAAGAGAUGCUCAGUGUCUGGAUCUCCCUCAGUUGGGUAUCUUGGAAUUCUCUUUCAGUUCCCCAACCACAAAAAAUUCUCUUUCCUUUCUUCCUACCUGCUGUGAGAGUUUUCUUUUCUUUUCUUUUCUUUUCUUUUCUUUUCUUUUUGAAAUAAUGAACACCAAGCUUCCUGGGGAAAGAUGGUUACAUAAAUAGUAGGGGCAUAUAGCAUUGGAGGAUGGAGUUGCAGGAUUGGGGACUCUGUGGCCAUGUGGAUCUGCACAUCAUUGUCUCCCGUGCACGGAGACAAGGGUAGCAGUUCCUAGGCUCCGUCCUUUGUUGCUUUGUGGGUUGGUCACUGAUUUCCCCUGUGCAGGUUCUGGAUCCCUUUACCUUGCCUCCACUCAGGUUGGUUCUAGAAGGCUCACAUCUAGCAGCUGCCCUCGGUCAACCCCGCAUCCCUGCACACAGGUGCUCUCUGUUGUUACGACCUUGGGGACAUUGUCCACCAGCUGAUUAUAGCUGUCCUCAUCCUUGGGCACUUGUCUGCCUUCGCCAGUGGCACUGGUCUCAUUCCCAGCGCUGGCUCUGCCUCCUGCGCCCUGUUGCUUGCUCCUCAGGCAGUGAGUCACCCUAGUCCCGGGGCAUUUCACCCACCUGUAUGGCUAGCACACAUUGCUUCCAUUUGCCAAGGAGACUUAGGGAUGCACAGUCUCAAGAAAACCUUGCCAGAGGAAGUGACUUCUCUGGAGACAUCUAGGUGGUAAAUUCCUUAGGGAGAAGCCAUGUUUUAUUAACUAGAGGCAAACUUGAGUACUAGUGAGAGUUAUGACUCUGGAGUAUGUUACCCUGGCCAAGCUAUUGAACCUCUGUGCAUAGUUUUCAUCUAUAAAAUGUGAACGAUAAUAGUAUCCACUCAUUUGGGUGGUUAUGAGGAAUAAUUAAGUUAACUCAUCCAUGUAAAGCACUUAAGUAGCAGCUUGUGCACAGUAAGCACACAAAGUUACUUGUCAUUAUCUCUUUGCACCUCAGCAUUGAACACUAUGGUUUACACAUGGUAGGUGCUUAUUAAUGGUUCAAGUAAGUGUAAUAUUCAGAAGGUGGGAAAGUGAUUUCCUCCUCUCUUACCAUAAAAUAAAAGUAAUAUUAGGUUGCAAUAAAGCAUUGUGGGCAUGAAGACAUUUACUCCCUGGUGGGGAGUGGGAAGUAGGAUGUUCCAGAUUCUGUCUUAAUAACCAUGUGCCUAUGAUUUGCUACUCAUACUUAACAAACCCAGUCUGUCAGAAGUUUCACUAAUACUUAACUGGCUCCCAAGGUAAUUUUGAAAGGAUGGGGCAGCUUAAUCAGGUGAUUUGUUUCCAGGAAGCAUUGUUAUUUGGACAUUUCAAACUCCAACAUGUGUGGUGGUAUAUUAAGGAGAUGCUGCCCUUUCUUUAUGGAUUUGCUCUGCAUUCUAAGUGGUGUUCGCUUUUCGAGUAGGAGAUGGGCAGAUAGAUGCUCUUUAAUUGAAUAGCCCACUGAGUUGUGUCAUCUCCUUGGUGCCUCGUGUGGGACUGUGUGAGUAGCAGGUGUUCAGUAAAUGUUUCUUAAAUCAACGAGUAAUUGAUGGGACAUUUUUCUUCACAUUACAUCACAUUGGCUGGAAGGUGCUUGUGAGGAAGUUUUGCUCAUGACGUCCCUCCUAGGCAGGUCUACUUAACAUGUUUCUCUAGCUGUCGGGAUGUUGAAUUGGAGGGCGGCUCUCAAAGUCACUGCUCAUCUAUAAGAGGAACAGGUGGUCCAGACAAGAUGGUGGGGGAAGGGGUGCCACCACUCGCCUCUGGUGAGGUUCCUGGGCCAUACUCAAGAUGAAGAUCACAACUCCAACACAAGGAGGGACUGUGAUCCUGAGGACAAGAGUUUUUGAUUCAGGACCUGAAUGUUGCAAUUUGGAGAAGAUGGUGUUUAAAAAGUGACCCUAUGCACUAGGGUGACGAGAACAUGAACCUGAAGCCCUGUUAUCAGCGUUUUGUCUCAAUGUAUUCCAGAAUUGUUUUCUUUUUAACCAUUAAAUCAUCCCCUGGUAUCCAACAUUAAAAAAAAUAAUAAAUUUAUUUCAAUGCAAA